rnacentral:lncRNA from 1 species
CCACAACACACGUCUGCCUAAUUACAGACUUUUGUCCUGGAGGAGAACUAUUUGCAUUGAUUGACAAGCAACCUAUGAAGAUUUUCAAAGAGGAAGCUGCGAGGUACAACUAAAAAGUAUAAGAAAUGUUUACAUAACCAUGUCUUAACCAGUUAAAAUAGCUGUUUUUCUUCUGUCAGUAGGAGAAAAACCUGUACAUUGACAUGCACAUGCAUAUCUUGAUGAGUGUAUUCAUCCAUAUAGGCACUCGUAAGAGUACUUAUUCCAUUGUGACCUAGGAAUUAUGGAUUUGACUAGUCAAAAUAGUUUUUCCAUGUGCAAAGUAUGGUUCUUUUCAGAGCUUUUAAAUAUUGGAGACUUGAUUAUUAUGCUACCCUGUAGAUUUUCCCUCCCCAAAACUAUGCUUUGCUCUAUGAACCAAUCAUAACAUAUGAAAGAUUGAUACUAUAUAUAUAUAUAUAUAUAUUUAUAUGCAUGUAUGUAUGUAUGUAUGUAUGUAUGUAUGUAUGGAUGUCAAAACAUGUUAAAAUAAGAAGAUGCAAUGUGGGUACAACAAUAAAGAUUUUGGGCACAGAAUGUUAUAUAUGAUAUAUAUAUAUAUAUGGCAAAAUUUUGGCAUCCAUUUAGUGUGUUAAGGUAUGCAGUUUUAUAUUAUGACAAAUAAUAACAAGUAAUUAAGUAAUAAUUUAACCUAUUCACCAUGAGAAAAUUAGUCAUAACAACAUGUUAGUAAGAUAGUAGCAAGAACUUGUGAUGAAUGAAUAAAAUUAUUUUAAUUUUACGAAUCCAAAUUUUUGCUUAAUAGCAACAACUACAACCUAUAUCCAGUACUAUAAUCAAGAACUUAGCAAUAGAAAAAUAAAGUUCUCCAUGAAAUUAAAACAAGACCGUCUCAAUCAGCUUCUCAUGGUGUAUCCAGAACAAGGUUACUAGCACUUAUUAAUUGGUGUAUUAUAGUGAAUAUUGGAGCCAUUUAAUCAAAGAAAUGCUAUGAUAAUUCUUAAAUAUAUUUAAUCAGGUUUGCAGGUUUUCUGGAAAUAUUUCUUGAAUGACUGAUGUUUGUGAUUUAAUAUCAUGCAAAAUAGUUCUUGUAUAUAGUUGAAGUUAUCUUGUUUCUUAUUAUCUCUUUUUUUGAUAUUCAAAUAAUUUUCAGGUUCUAUGCAGCUGAAGUUGUGGUUGGUCUAGAAUAUCUUCACUGCCAAGGUAAAUCAGUCAACUAAAUCAUGUGUGCAGUUCCACAACAAUGUUCAUUUAACUCCAGUAUCAACAUUUCAAGAGAUUUCUAAUUGUUAAAUUUUCUUCUAGAAGAUCUUAUCAGUUGCAAUUAUUGAUAAGAAAUUCACCAAUAGUAUGCAUAUUGUCAUUUUUUUUCUUUUUUGUAUAAUCUCAUAUUUCUUUAAAAAUGUAUAUAUCUUUCUUAAUAGGAGGAAAAGUUGCUCCUUCACUUCCUCUUUUUUCUACUCUAAUUGAUGUUGUAGUCAAUGAUGUAUGUUCUGUUACCAAAACCAUCCAAUAUGAUAUGCAAAUAAUUUGAUAUAUCAGUUAGUGAUGGCUCAAUGAUAAAAAAUCAAAAGAGGAUAAUGGGGUCCCAGUUUUGUCUCAUGGUCAAGACCUUACAAUUGUCAGCCUGUGAGGUGGAGGGCUUGCCAAAGCAAGAGGCGCCACCGGAUUUGGUCAGAGGUGGCAGUUAGAACAGGUUAUUGGAGGAGAUGGGAGAGAGGGGGGUGUCACAAAACAAAGAAUGUGGAGAUUAGGGCUUGGGUUUGGCCACUUGAUACUUUCAAUUGAAAUUGAACAACUAGGACUUCAACUAGUUUCAACCAAGACCGAGUGAUGUGGUGCUAAAUAAGUGGUAUAACUUGAAAUUGGGUUGCUCACAUUCUGGUCCAUUGUCCAAAUGAUACAGGCACAUUGAUAUGAGCCUUUUUUGAUUUGGAUUUCCAUAGCCAAGAAUUUAGUAAAGAUGGUGACUCUUGUGUAGGAGGUUUCCACUAAUGUAGGGUCUGGGUACAGAGAGUUCAGACAUAUUUGGAGGGUUGACAUAUGCAGUUUUACCCAAGUAUAGAGACCGUUUCCAUGACUCAAACCUUAAUCAUCUAGGCUGCAAAGGAGCAACCCAAUUGUUGUAUCAAGGCUCAUGUUGAAAUUCACAUUACAAAUUCAACAACAAGAAUCAUUAGUAAGAUUCAUUUUGAGGCAAAAAUUCACUUUAAUAUUGAAAAUGUCAUUACAAAAUGCUGUUGACAGUGCUAAAAUUACUAUUGGCUGUACACAUUUAUGUUCAAAUAAAAAAUUGAUUGCUACAGGGUUUAUCAUGUAGGAUAUUCUCUCUUCAUUCUUUGCAUUGCCAAUUGUUUGCAUUUGAAGUGCUCAAUUCACAACUAAAAUGUAAAAUCAUGUCUAACAACUAUUUCUGUCAUUUUCACAUAGGUAUUAUAUAUCGUGAUCUAAAGCCUGAAAACAUCCUACUCCAGAAGGAUGGGCAUGUCGUGUUGACAGACUUUGAUUUAUCAUUCUUGACAAACUGUAAACCACAAGUAUGCUUUCCGAUUCCAUUUCUUAACAUGGUUGGCUUUUAUAUACAUACUCUAUCUCCUUUCUCUGGAAGUGUCAUUUACUGUCACUAAGAAAUGUAACCUUGCUCUGCUCGCUCUACAAUCUAAACUGAUACUUUUGAUUUGUACUUUUCUUUUGUAGUUCAGUAGUUUAAACUUUAAAUACUACAAAUUAGUUGUAUAGUGACUCUAUCAAGAACAAAGGAAAUUAAUUAAAAUAACCUUUAAAUUUAUAACAAAUAAAAAGAGGUAUAUCUGAAACAAGUUCAAUAAACUGAGAGACAUAAAUGAUUGAUAGAGAAUGCGAGAUGUAUAAUACAUUUAGCAUUGAGAUCCUUCAUGAAUUAUAGACUAACCUAGUAAUUUAUAUGUAGUAGCAUUAUGUGGCACAAAUUGUUUAAGCCCACUCAAAUUAGUAGUAAUUAGUAAAUAUAUUAAGUCAUAGAUAGCUGCGUGAUACUCAGGAUCAAUACAUUAAGUCAUAGAUUGUGCAUGCCAUAUCAUGGAUUUAGGUACCAAUCUAUGUUUACUGACAUUGUCAUUCCUACAUAGUAUCAGUGCAGGAUCAGAUGAAUACCAAGGACAUUUAUGAUCCAUAUAUAUGCUAUAUUACUUGGUUAUUACGCCACUGAUCUACUAAUCUAACAAUGAUUGUGUUGGGGCCUAGCUACAGGGCCCAAAAGUAUUAUUAGUAACUGACCAUCAAAGUCAUAUAUACUAGCAAAAUCUUCCUCAUCUUCCAAAGUGGGACCAUUAAGGAGUCACACAUCCAUUUCUAGCUAGUAGUGUUUUUGGUUGGAUUAAAUGUGUUGAAUAGAAAGAAUUCUAUAAUUUGGUUUUCAAUAUAGAAUUUUUAAAGGAAAAUUAUAGGCCACAGUAGUUCUUGGUCAAAACAAGCCAACAAAAUUCUUGUAUCCUAUUGAUGAAAAAUGCCGCCAUAUUUUUAUUAUGGUUUUUGGCUAUUUUAGUAUUUGAAAAGGAUUGACCAUGAUUUAAAUUAAAUACUGGCAUUAAAGGUAAUAUAUGAAGACUAAAUGCCAAAACCAAGGAAUGUUGUCUCAUGUCAAUUGGUUAUAUCGGUCACUAGGCAAAUCGGUAUGUGUCGGUUAGUGUUGGUGUUCCAAAAAAGGGCCAAAAAGAUGGCUAGAAAUUAAAAAACCCUAUUUCAUGGUUUUUUGUCCUAAUUUUAUAUAUAUAUAAAUUAUAUUAAUAUAAGAAUAAAAUGUAUCUAAGCCAUAAGAGAAUAGAAAUUCAAGGUUAUAUAGAUGAAAAAUUAUCUUUGUCUUUUCAGAUAUGUCGAGGAACAACUUUGUCACACAAUCCUCCGAAGGAAUGUGCUUUUGUUUAUCUUUAGUCACUUAUAGGAAAGAGAGUUAUAUGUUAGAUUAGAUUCAAAAACUUUAAAAUUUAAAUAAAAUAAUUAAUUAAGAUAAUAUUAUAUAUACUUUCUUCUACCACUAAAAUGGAUGACUGAAAUCAUGGAACAGGGUCCUUAAUCCUAUAAAGUUUCAUGUCAAUAUGGCUGGUUUGUUGAAUCCAAUAUUGGAACUGCUCAAAUAACAUUGUACUGGUAACCCAUGUGUUAUUGAUCCAUCAAUGUGGAAACGAUCAUUGUCUCAUCAUCAUUAAUUACACAUGACUAAAGAGCCCACUGAGGUAAGUAUGACUAUAGUACAUAGGGCUAUGGAGGUUGGAGUGCACUAGAACUUCAACUAUCAUCACUGACCUAUUGCUUUGUAAUGUAGGAAUGAUCGAACUAAAAAAAAAAUGACUAACUAUCAUCAUAUAAUUGUUGGCUAUAAGAAUCUUUGUGAUGUGAAGGCUACAAAUACAAUGAACUCCUAUGAGUGUCCAUAUCAUAUAGGUCUGACUAAUCUAUUCAUAGUCAUUGACUAUCUUUCCCUUACCUUUAUCCUUCUGGCCAUAAAUAAUGUGUAGACACUCGAGCUCCAUGAUCUGGGUGGCAUACAUAAGGUGCUUUUCCUUCAUCCAUGCCCCACCCUACGGCUAAGUAGCUGGAAUAAUCGACUAUCGCCAUCAUCACCAUCAAUCACUGUACAACUAUUGAUGUUGCUAUUAUUUCCACAGACCUCACAUAUAUGGAUUAUGAGGGAGAUGGUGUCUCAUCAUCGGAUUGAAACUAUUAUUCAACAAUCCUUUUAAAUGGAUCUGUCGAUACUACUACCUUCCUCUUUUUCGUUUCAUAUUGGGCAAACAUCUAUGAUAUGCCACCACUACUACUACCUUCUCAUCCUCAUCAAGGUCAUCAUCUUCUCCACCUACAAUUAUGCCUUAUCCUACUCCUCUUCUCUUCCUCCAACCAUCUUCUCUCCCUCUUUCUCUUUGGUCCAAAUAGUAUCGAAUGGUUUGAGUGCGAAUACAUGGAUUUAUACCAAUAUCAUAUUGGUUUGACUAGUAAAUAAUCUUGAGAUAGGAUGGAGAUUUUGAAAACUUGUUAUAGAUAUAUCCCGAUUUAUUAUUUAACAAGAUGAAGAAAUUGAUGAAUAUAUUAUUCAUAUUCUAAAGUUGGAUGAAGUGGAGAGGGAGAUCAAUGGUUUUGUGUCAUCACAGGAUAUCCCUUAGAUUAAGAGAAAAUUUUCAUAAGACAGUUAUUUUAAAAAAAAAUAAGAUUAAUAAUUAGUCAAAAUGAUAGGCAGUGUCUAUAAAGAUGUCAGUAUGGUCCAAAUUAUCUCCCAAGAUGAUUUCCCAUUCGGUAGAGUUCCCUAGAGGCAAGAUGGUGGGCCUCAUUAUUAAUAGUUCUAGGAAUAUGUCUAAAACAGACAUUAUUGACCUCCAUGAUCAAGUUCUAAAUGUUACGAAACAAGGAAAUGAUGUACCAAGGUACCUUGUUUAUAUUAGUGACAAAAUUGCUGCAUCUUAAGGAGUCCAAAAGGAAUAUAAUUUACCGAAAACCUAGAGAAUUGGCUUAGAGUCCCUUUAGAAUGACAAUUUCUUCAGCUUGAGCAGGACAAAAUAGGGAGAACAAACCAGCAUAUAUUUUACUUGUUGAUCCUUUAGGAUGAAUCCAGGCACCAUCACAUUCUAAAAAUGUCGUUAAACUCAGAUGGGAUAGUGUUGUUUUUAACAGUUUUGGAAUUACUUAUCCUCUCAGAUUCCUUGCCAAACUGAUGAAGAUCAUUGAUGGAUAUAACCACCUUUCUCAUAAGGGAAGAGGUUGUAACCUGGAGGAUGCGAAAGCAGACACUGUUUCAGUUUAAUCAAACAUGUCACAAGGAAAUAUCAAUUAUGCUACGAAGGUGGGAGAGUUGUACUGAUUCAGAGGUAGAGGGUUUUUGAAGCCAAGAACCUUAGUGUCAAUUGUUAAAGUUGUAGAAGUGAACUUUGAGGUGGUUCUUCGCAAUCUCCCAAAAGUCAAGGACAAACUGACAUUUGAAAUAAAUAUAAUUGGUCAGUUAUAAAUCCAACUAUAGUUUAUAACUUUGCAUAUCUAAGUGUUGGUCAGUUUAUGCAAUAUAUACAAAAAUAUGUGUAGCUGAAAUUCUUCAUGUACUGGUCACUACAUGAAGUUAAAAAAUAUAUAGAAAAUAUAUUUAUCUAUUUGUAAACAAUUAAGUGUAAGUCCAAUGAAAAAUAAAUUAUGAGAGGAAUGUUUAAGAUGAUGUGAAUAUGUUUAAAGGAAACCUUAAGAUGAUAUGGUCAGAUGAGGCGUUUUGAUUAGCAAUGUGGUGCCAUGACAGAUAGAUGGACAAAUAAGAAGACUUGCAUAGAUACAAAAGAGGAGAUUUGAAUGUUCUUGAAUUAAUUAGAAAGGUCACCUUUUAUAAAGCUCAAUGACAUGAAAAGAUUCAUGUAGCCAAUCCAAAAUAAUUGGGUGACUUAACUACUUGUUGUUGGAGUUUACAAUAAACUUUAAUUGUUAUAUCCUAUUUAAUUUUCUCUGUUUCUCUCAAGAUGGACUAGAAUCAGAUAUCUAAGGAUUACAACUAAGCAUAUCUCAAUGUUCUUUAACUGCAAUGUAUCUGGAUAAUAAAUUAUCUAAGCAACACUAAGAAGACACGAACAACAGAUAUUGAAAAGUUCACAAGUGACAUUAAUUCUAUCAGGAUAAAAGAUAUUUUGCCGACUUGUGAAUACUUUGUCAACUGAAAUAUGUAUAUUUAGAUUAUUUUGGUCUUUAAUUCUCUCAUUGAUUGGAGUAUUUUCAUAAGUUUUUCUAUUCUGAGAAAUCUUUUUUAUAUUGCCUGAUGCAGGUGGUAAAACAAUCAUUACCCUCAAAAAGAAGAAAAUCGAGAGAUCAUCUUCGUCCAACCUUUGUAGCAGAACCUAGUACUCAAUCAAAUUCAUUUGUUGGAACAGAAGAGUAUAUAGCUCCAGUAUGGUCUUCUCUCCUGCUUGUGAUACUUUAGUUGUUUUUAACUUUUUACAAUGACACAACUUAAAUUAAGAAAUACCCUUCUAGCAUCAUGCUUAUAGUUGACUUUGCUUUUAUGUCUUUCUUUCUUUCUCACUUAUUUGCUCUCUGUUUUAUAUCCUCUAACUUCUGUUCUUAGUUUCAGAUUUCCUCUAUUUUAUACUGAAUCCAAUCCAUUUAAUGGCUUACCAUGCUUUUUCUUUUGGCACACAUAUACUCAUGAUGAAUUAUAUUAAAUUGCCACAACUGCUGCAUAUUUUGUUAUCCUGAUGCAUAUUUCAUUGCUGAAAUGUCUUCGCUGGUUUCAUUUUCCAUCAAGUCAACAAUAUUACUGCAUUAUUCGGUUGUCCUAAAACCUUUGCAGCAUCCACACCAAAAGGUCAUCAGUUGCAAUUGUCAUACAUAUGCAGCAAUUUUUACAGAUAUGUUAUAAGUCAUCUUGAAUUGCGAUCAGAUAUGGUCAUACAAGCCUCAUAUGCAAGGAUAUAAAAUCAUGGUUAAACUGUCAAAAUGAUCGCAUAUAAGUUUCACAAAAGUGAACUUUUACUAUAAACGACCUAUAGACUGUUCAUUUUAGAAUGAAACAAUAGACAGACAUGGUGAGAGGCUUUUAGAUUUGAACAUUUUUAAAUAUGGAAAAUAUUGGAAGAUUUUCAUAAUCUUGGAAGAUUUGUGGACAAAUUUUAGCCCUCUUCGUGCGCAUUUGAAGUGAAUAGAUAUACCCAAAUUUGCUCAACCUUAACCUACUCAACAUUACAUGCUUCACACAACAAAGAUUUACUAUUUAUAGUCCAUGUUACUAGAGUUCUAAAUUAUUUCUGGAGACCUCAAUUUUAUUCAUUUCAUCAACAAGAUUCAGAUUGUUAUUCAUUGUUUCUACUUUCUUCCAUUUUCAUAAGAUUGUUUGAGCAUUAGUUCUACUGGUUCCUAAACUAAUAUCCAGAUAGAUCAGGUUUCGAUGUCUUUGAUGAAAACGUAUAUGAGAAUUAUAGUUUGACUUUGAAGAGGAAUUUCGAUUUGUGGAAAUAUGAGCAGAAAGUAUAGGAUUUUAUAAUAUUGUUUGAGCAUUAGUUCUACUGGUUCCUAAACUAAUAUCCAGAUAGAUCGGGUUUCAUUGUCUUUGAUGAACAUGUAUAUGUGAAUUAUAGUUUGAAGAGGAAUUUCAACUUGUGAAAAUAUGAGCGGAAAACAUAGGACAAACAUUAAGAUACUGCUGAUAUCAUGGGUUGCAGAUGCUGAUUAUUUCUAUGCAGUUUAGCUGGCAUAUAUAAUAAAUGCACCAGUGGCCUGCUAGUUGGCAUGUACCAUAUUGGCACAUUUUCUGCAUGUCUCUUGACUAAAACCAAGACAUAAUUCAUAAAUUUAAAUACGCAUCAUGGUGGAUAAUACAGAAAUCCGACUUCCAAACAGAACUUGCUAUACUGCAAGAAUAGCAAGGAAAAUUUUUCUUGUACGCUGUUGGUAUAUCAAAAAUCAAGCCACCACGUUGUUGUUUUGAUUUUCAGUGUAAUUCUGUCAGAAUCUGAUCUAUGUUGUGUCUUUUAUCACCAAAAUUUCUUCACGAGUCGCAGAUACUUUUUAUGAUUACUUUCGUUAUAUCUUUGAAAUAUUACUAUUAAGUAUAAUUAGUUUCAAGUACUUGCUUGCUUCUUUUGUGAUUGUCUUAUAUCUCCUAAAAUCUCUUUCUUUCAGGAGAUUAUUACAGGAGCAGGGCAUAGCAGUGCCAUUGAUUGGUGGGCUCUUGGUAAGCACAUGCACACAAGGCAUAAUUGCUAAGUUGUGUUUCUUUGCUUAAACAUGUAUUUUUUUAUCAAAUCUUUCUAUUUUCACAAUCUAAUGACCUAAUUUUGUCAAUCUAAGUUUGUUAGUGGCAAAUAGAAAGUACUAUCAAGUUUUUUUCAGACAAAAAACCAUGCUAGAAUGAUUGUCAAUAUUAAAAGCAACAUAUAUUCGAAUUGUAAAUGUUGAAGGACAAUAGGUAGAAUGUUAGGCCAACUUAACCUUUCUACACCUAAUAGCUUGUAAAAAUACUUUUCGUUAGAAAUAAGUAGACUGAAUAGUACAAUAACUUCAUAUUGCAACAAAUCAUACCCUCACACCAAAUCCACAUCUCUGUAGAAACAUCACCAACAACUUCUACAGUGAUGCAAAUUACAGAUACUUCAUAUUUGUUCACUUGAUUUUGUAACAGCUAAAACAAUCAGAAAAAUCCAGCAACUCAGUGCCUGCAUCUUCUGAAUCAUUAACCUUGGCAUCAUCUUAUUCCAUAACCAGGGAUAUUCUGACUGACACCAGACUCAAGUCAUCUCCAAAAUGAGAUGGAAAGUCCCAAUAUUCUAGCAGAUCCAGUAUCCUUUUUCUUAAGGCAAACUGGCUGCAGUAUCCUUAACUAUAACAUUCAUAGAAAAUUUUGACAUAACCGCAUUAACAAUUUUCUUGAUAAUAGUCUGGUUAGGUUUUCAUCUUUUUUAUCUUUAUAGAUGUGAUUGUUUCUUCCUAGUCAGAUUAUAAACUGUGGCAGCCAGCAACAGAGAACUAAAAUUGUUGAUUAAAGCCUUGCCUUCACUAUGUGUAGAGAAUGAAAGAGCCUCUUGUUAUACAAUCAUGUACUUCUGUUAAUCUUGCUGAACUUUAUCAGUUUCUGUUCCUACAUAUUCUUACUCACAGGAGCAUGAGAAAAGUAUAUCUGUUAGUCACAAUACUGCUGCCGCAACAUACAAAUCUGGGAUUCUAUGCAACACCCUUUAUCAUCAGUUUAUCGUGUGUCAUCAGCAUGCCAUUAACAGCAAAGCUAAGAACAAAGGCAAACUUUGGAUUUCUUUUUCCAUGGUGCACCAUAUGGUCCUGCACCAUUUAACUGGAGAAAUUUUCUCAAGCAUCUUUCACAGCAAAACCUUUAACUAACUAAUGUUAGAUAUCCAGGUCUCUCUGUUUUCAAUAUUUGCAAUCUGAAUCUUCUUUUUUUAUUCCAAGUAGCUUCUGUUUCCUGGUCAACAGCAGGUGGAAAAAGCCAUUUUGCAAUCAUAAUCACACCUACAUUGAUAAUCACACGAACAAUUAUAUAGAUCACUGAAUAAUCAUGUCAGCAAAAGUCACCAGGAUAAGACAAUCAUGCCAGCAUGAAUUCCAGAUCAUUGACUAAGAAUCUGCCUUGUAGUAAUCCAAGGAACAGUCCUUAUUUCAAUCAAAAUAUUAUUCUGUGAGUUCUCUUUUUUGCCUUUUGUUGACUUCUUGUAAUUAAAAUGCAGGAAUCUUGUUAUAUGAGAUGCUGUAUGGCCGUACACCUUUCAGGGGGAAAAAUCGGCAGAAGACCUUUGCAAAUAUUCUGCAUAAGGACCUCACAUUUCCUAGUAGCAUUCCAGUAAGAAAUUUUACCCCACAAUCAGGUCCUACUGUUUAUGGCAUAUAAAUGUAAUAUACACCUGCAUCAUAUUUAGUACCUUCUCUUCAAUAUAUCCAAGACUCUUGCUUAUGGCACUAUGAGGUUAUUCUGUCACCAUACCUGAAUACAAAAAAGCUGCAAAUAAAGCUUCUUCCACUGAAACAAAGAUUUCUGUCUAAUACAAUCAAAGGUUUUCAGUUCAAAACCUAUACUGGCAACCGAUCUUCCCUUUCUAUGUUGAUGCCAAUAGCGCUAGUCAUAAGCUUAAAAUUUCUUUAGUAGCUAAUAGAGCACAAAGAAAUAGAAAUGGCUGCCCUGUGAAGAUCAAAAUGGGGUUUUGAUAGCAGCUUCACACUUCUAUUCAUUAUUCCCACUACAAAUUUCUGUCCUGUCAAUAGGAUUCAUUAUUCAGUAUGUUGUUAUGACUUAAUAAUACCCUAUGUUCAAUGACUGAAAAUCUUAAAUGCUCUAGAAAUUCAUAAUUUAGGACUUGAAAAGUUAACCUUAUUUAGGUAAUAUUGUUCACAUCACAUAUUUUGAUAAGCUUUCAGAUGUCCUUCAACAGAUAUCUUCAAGAACAUGGAUUGAUUUUUUCUGAGUAUAGUACAAUGCUUUUUGAACAUGGGUUAAGAAAAACAAAAAACAGCUUUUGCUAUGAGCCUUUUUUGUGCCUUAUUUUUCUUUACAAAAAAAAAUGUUGACCCUCUGAAGCAAGGUUUGCCGUACCGGACUGUACCGCCCGGUACGGGCGGUAUGUACCGGUCCGACAGGCUUGCGGUACGCGGACCGCCCUGUACCGGUCCGCCCGUACCGAGCACUGUAGCAGUGCACUGUAGCACUGUAGCACUGCUACAGUGCUCGGUACACCUGGGUGUACCGAGCGGUAUACCGUACCGUACCGGUACCGAGCCCGGGUCGAAACGCCGGUACGAUACGGUACGAUGAACCUUGCUCUGAAGUGCAUUGUGGUGUUCUUUGCAUUGUCCACCUACUACAGCUACUUUAGAUCCAAUGGCUUCCAAGAAUAACAAAAUUUACCAAUAUCUCUUCUCUUUGACUCCUAUAACAAAUACAGACUAUAUGUUUUUACUGUGUUUUUGAUAAAAUUGGCCCUGCUACACCAGAAGAGAUAAUAAAGAGCUUACACACACAGAAAAUUUUCAUUAGCAACCCUCUUAAUUAGUGGCAACUGACCCUAUGAGCACAGAGUGCACAUUACACAGAAUGAUAGAAUGCAAAUUAGAUAGUUCUGUUACAGCUCUUUAUUCUAGAUUGUAUUAUAGAAACAUACAAGGCAAGCAUGUUAGAAGAUGUGGUUUUCUAUAGAUCCAGGGUCUUUAGUUUGGGAGUAUUGUUUUCUUUGUUCUCUUGCUGAAAAUUCAGCACUUCCAAUCUCAACAUGGAACUUAUGGAAAGACAAUUUCUUAUUUGGUGAUCGUUUGUGUUUGACAGGUUAGUCUUGCAGCCAGGCAGUUAAUCCAUGGAUUACUCAACAGAGACCCUGCUAAUCGUUUGGGAUCAAAAACUGGAGCCAAUGAGAUCAAACAACACCCCUUCUUCCGGGAGAUUAAUUGGCCACUUAUCCGCUGCAUGGUACUUUGUUUACUAUUAUUAUUGGACAUCAGUAAGCAAUCAUAUAAACUAGUAUCCAAUUGAUGUGCUUCCCUUUCCACAGACUCCACCAGAGCUGGAUGUUCCACUUCAAUUGAUCGGAAGGGAACCUGAUCCCGUGGUGAAUGAUGUACAAUGGGACGACGAACAGACAAUCAUACAAGGUCUAGAAAAUUUAUGAAGUGAGUACCACCAAAAAUGACAAAGCUAUACACAUAUUCAGUCCCUAGACCAACAAAUAAAAGGAAAAAGCAUAUUGAAAACCAG